AGGGUGAGGGGGUCCCUNGAGUGCCACCCUCGUGGUGGCUUUUGCGGGGUCUAAAAAGCCCCGCNAAUAAGGGGAGGGCAAGACGGGUGUCAGCCGCCGCGGUAAUACCCGCUCCCCGAGUGGUGGGGACUAUUACUGGGCUUAAAGCACCCGUAGCCGGCCGGAUGUGUCUCCCGUUAAAUCCACGGGCCUAACCCGUGGGCUGCGGGAGAUACUAUCCGGCUUGGGGGUGGGAGAGGGCGGCGGUAUUCCCGGGGUAGGGGUAAAAUCCACUGAUCCCGGGAGGACCACCGGUGGCNAAGGCGGCCGCCCAGAACACGCCCGACGGUGAGGGGUGAAAGCUGGGGGAGCAAACGGGAUUAGAUACCCCGGUAGUCCCAGCUGUAAACGAUGCGGGCUAGGUGUCGGGUGGGCUACGGGCUCACCCGGUGCCGAAGGGAAACCAUUAAGCCCGCCGCCUGGGGAGUACGGCCGCAAGG
rnacentral:rRNA from 1 species